rnacentral:lncRNA from 1 species
UUUUAAUUAUGAAAUUUAGUAAUUAGUAUUCAUAAAGCUCAUACAAUUGAAUACUAUCAAAAGCCAGGCCUUUUUAUUUAGUUGAUUAAAUAAACAAAAAGAUUGUACCCUAAUGACUUGAUCUUGAUGAUGAUACAUGAACGAUCAUUACGUCAUAAAUAAAAUAGGACAAAUAGAUGACUUAUUGUUAUUGUUUUAACUUAUUAUCAUUACCUUAAGGUUAUUCAUACACUUUAGGAAAUUUUCGCUGGUUCAGUUGAAAAAGAUUACAGGCCCCCUAUCAUUAUUCUCUAACUUUGAUGCUGAUAACGUAUCAUAAAAUUGGCUGCUAGUGCCCAUGAUUUUCAAAUGUGUACAAAAGUGGGUACAAAAGUGGGCGAAGUGGAAUGCCGACUCACUGUGAUAAUUCGCAUUGGGAUGUCAAUUGGGUCGUUGUUUCUUAAACAAAGUAAUGGUUUAUCAUUGCAACAAAGAAGAAGUUGAUUCUUAAAAGUUUUGCAGUUCAUUUUUAUUGGCCACCAAUAAGUUCAAAGGAGGCUAAUCUGUGGUGUACUCUACCUACCUGCCAUCGUCAUUCAUCAUAUUAUAUUUGUUAAAGUGCAUUGCAAGAAAUAAUGAUUUGUUUAGAUUAUUGGCUAUGAAAAUGGCCUAUUGUAUGG